rnacentral:rRNA from 1 species
UACAGAGGUCUCAAGCGUUGUUCGGAUUCAUUGGGCGUAAAGGGUGUGUAGGUGGCGCCGUAAGUCGGGUGUGAAAUUUCGGAGCUUAACUCCGAAACUGCAUUCGAUGACUGCGGUGCUUGAGGACUGGAGAGGAGACGUGGAAUUCGAUGGUGUAGCAGUGAAAUGCGUAGAGAUCAUGAGGAAGACCAGUGGCGAAGGCGGUCUCUGGACAGUAGCUGACACGAGGCGCGACAGCGUGGGAGCAACAGGAUU